UUUGAAGUGUGGACGCCAGUCUGCAUGGAGCCGGCCUUGAAAUACCACCCUUUAAUGUUUGAUGUUCUAACGUGGACCCGUGAUCCGGGUUGCGGACAGUGUCUGGUGGGUAGUUUGACUGGGGCGGUCUCCUCCUAAAGAGUAACGGAGGAGCACGAAGGUUGGCUAAUCCUGGUCGGACAUCAGGAGGUUAGUGCAAUGGCAUAAGCCAGCUUGACUGCGAGCGUGACGGCGCGAGCAGGUGCGAAAGCAGGUCAUAGUGAUCCGGUGGUUCUGAAUGGAAGGGCCAUCGCUCAACGGAUAAAAGGUACUCCGGGGAUAACAGGCUGAUACCGCCCAAGAGUUCAUAUCGACGGCGGUGUUUGGCACCUCGAUGUCGGCUCAUCACAUCCUGGGGCUGAAGUAGGUCCCAAGGGUAUGGCUGUUCGCCAUUUAAAGUGGUACGCGAGCUGGGUUUAGAACGUCGUGAGACAGUUCGGUCCCUAUCUGCCGUGGGCGCUGGAGAACUGAGGGGGGCUGCUCCUAGUACGAGAGGACCGGAGUGGACGCAUCACUGGUGUUCGGGUUGUCAUGCCAAUGGCACUGCCCGGUAGCUAAAUGCGGAAGAGAUAAGUGCUGAAAGCAUCUAAGCACGAAACUUGCCCCGAGAUGAGUUCUCCCUGACCCUUUAAGGGUCCUGAAGGAACGUUGAAGACGACGACGUUGAUAGGCCGGGUGUGUAAGCGCAGCGAUGCGUUGAGCUAACCGGUACUAAUGAACCGUGAGGCUUAACCUU
rnacentral:rRNA from 1 species